rnacentral:rRNA from 1 species
AUGACAUUCAAGCCAAAUCCCCAAUCACGCUUCCUCGCGGACGAGAUGGAGGCGUUUCAGGAGAGGAUGCUGAAGGAGUUCACGGAGUUACGAGCUGCGCAGAGCAAGUUGACCGUCGUCGAAGGGCUCUGUGCGCAGAUCGAGGCCAUCGACGCCAAGCUGACGGAGCAAUCGGCGUGUCUGGACCAGGUACAAGUCAAGGUGGAUUUAUCAUGUGACACGCUGGGACUGGUGCAACAAGGUCAGGCUCAUGCCGCUCAGAUCCACAAGCAGCAGACCACGGUAGAGGCCUCGUCGCCAACAGUGUCAGAUGUGUCCGAUGACAUAUUGGGAGCGGGACCAAGGACAAUUCAGCUUAGGGUACUAGUGGGCAACAAGGUGGUUUUGAUUCUGGUGGACUUCGGCAGCACCCACACUUUUGUGGAUCAGUCACUGUUGGAUAAAAUUCUUGUUACUGCAGAGAAGCUUGAGCAGCCAAGACCCGUGAAAGUGGCUAAUGGGGAUAUCAUCACCUGCACUGAAGUGGUUCAUCAGUUGACAUGGUGGAUACAAGGCCACAAUUUCUGUAACUCCAUGCAAGUGUUACCAUUAGGGGGUCAUGAUAUUAUUUUGGGAAUGGACUGGCUAGAGCAAUGGGGAGUAAUGAAAUGUCAUUGGGCUGAGAAGUAG